GAUUAACGCUGGCGGCGUGCCUAAUACAUGCAAGUCGAACGGGAAUACAUUUCGGUGUAUUCUAGUGGCGAACGGGUGAGUAAGACGUAGGUAACCCACCUGUAAGACGAGGAUAGCCAUUGGAAACGAUGGAUAAUACUGGAUAGGACAAUGGAAAAAGCAUUUUAGAUUGUUUAAAGGGAGAAAUCCGCUUACAGAGGGGCCUGCGGCGCAUUAGCUAGUUGGUAAGGUAAGGGCUUACCAAGGCGAUGAUGCGUAGCCGGACUGAGAGGUUGAACGGCCACAAUGGAACUGAGAACGGUCCAU
rnacentral:rRNA from 1 species